AGUCUGGUGAGAUUUUAUCCUAGAUAUUUCCUGCUCUAUGGUUAACUUAUAACUAAAUGGCCGCAGUACUUUGACUGUGCUAAGGUAGCAUAAUAACUUGGCCAAUAAUUAUGGUCUAGAAUGAAUGGAUUUACCUAUGAGAAACUGUCUUAUAUAAGUUGUAUUAAAAUUUUUCAUCAGGUGCAAAUUCCUGAAAAAACAUAAUAGACGAGAAGACCCUUAGAGUUUUAAUUACUAAGUCUAGCACAUUUUUGUUGGGGCAACAUAGGAAUUCUACCUUCCUAAUAUAUCUGCGACAUGCCAAGUAUACUAAGAUUGAAUAUAACUACCUAAGGGAUAACAGCAUAAUCUUUAAUAAGGAUUGUGACCUCGAUGUUGGAUUAGGUUAAAUUGACAUUAAUAAUGUUAAUUAAUGGUUCUGUUCGAACUUAUAUACCU
rnacentral:rRNA from 1 species